GUUUUGUUCUCUCUCCGCAUUCGUCACUAAUCACGUAACGCCAACGUAAUGACCCUGUCAGCCAGAACUGCUUUUGCGUAUGACAGACACCGGAAGUGAGAGAAAAGUGUUUAUUACCUUUGAAAUAUCCAUAAAAUAUGGAUAUUUUUCUUACAAAAAUGCAUGUAUUCACCCCCUGGAGCGGUGUGAGGCACGUUUUAUUAUAAAUGCGCUCGCUUUAUUUGAUGACUUGUGGAAUGUUCAACUGCAACACCUGCUGACUGUAAUGAUAGAGCUUGGAAUAGCCAGGACAAUUUUUUAUAUAACUCCGACUGGAUUCAUCUGAAAGAAGAAAGUCAUAUACACCUAGGAUGCUUCGAUGCCACAGAAAAUGUCUGCCACUGAAUAAAAAAGAACUGGAGCAGUCUUUCACAGUCGAUGGGACUCUUCUGAACCUCUACAGUCCAGAGCUGGAGCAAACGGCCCUGUGUUUGAUGGUUAAAUUUAGCACCGUGUCAGAGACGACCGUUUAACUGAUGACAACCACCAGAUCCAUUCUGUAUCCAGAUCAGAUGGUCACUGUAGUCACCCGGAUCCAGUACGUAUCCAGCCCAGAUGGUGGAUCAGCAUCUAGAAGGGACCUCUACAUCCCUGAAAGACAGCGGAGACCAGGACAACUAGUUGAGCCCCAGAUCCCCUGUAAAGACCUUGUCUCAGAUGACCACCAGGAAAAGACCACAGGAAACAGAUGAUUUUUCUGCACAAUCUGACUGCAGACUGGAAUUGAACUGCUUGUUUUGUCUGGCCAGAGGAGAACUGGCCCCC
ensembl:lncRNA